AUUUCUUAAUUUUGGGCUGGGCCCCACUAUCCUAAAGCUUCCAAGAGAAGCUUGUCUUGACUAUUCACUUUCACGCAUCAAAAAUUUCUCCCAACACAAACCAUCGCGCUCUUUCGCCUUCGCUGUGAUCCUGUCUGUGCUCUCGCCGUCAUUGGAGUUCAAGGUAGCCGGAAUUGUUUUUCGGUCCCCGGUGUAAGCUCUGUGUGUGGUCUUUCGCCGUCGCUGUCGCCCAGAGAAAGGUUCGCACUCUUUCGCCUUCGCUGUCGCCGGGUCUGUGUUGUCGCGGUGAUUCGUGUUGAAGGUAGCCGUAAUCCUGUUAGGGUCCCCGUAGUAGGUUCCGUUUCUGUGAGUUAUUCUUUUACGGUUUUGCUCAUUUGUUUGAGAUGACGAAGAAAACUAGAGCGAGAAAGGCUCCUGAGGAACAAGGUUUGAGCUAUUUAGUGUUAGUUUUUGCUAUAAAUUGCUUGGGCUGAAUUUUUCAGUUGAUGUUUGUUGUUUGUCUUGGUAUGUGCUUGCAUGAUUGUUGUAGUUUGUGUUUUGGGGAGUAUUCUAAGAUAUUUUGUAUGAAUUUUAGGGUUUCAAUGUUUUAUUAACUGUAUAUCCCAAUUAGUCUUUUUUC